CUGGUCCACUUUUCUGGAUUUGGAGCAGAGCAAGCUGAAUGGAUCAAUGCUCGUACAUCUUUACGACGUCGUUCUCUUCCAUGCAACACCAAAUAUUGUGGAGCUGUGAAACCUAGGGACAUUGUGCUUUGUUAUAAGCUAAGUGAACAUAGUCGUCUUUAUUUUGAUGCUCAAGUGGAUCGGAUAAUAAGAAAACCACAUGAUUCAAGAGCAGCAUGUGACUGCAAAUUCUUGGUUCGUUAUCUGCAUGAUCGAUCUGAGGAAUGUGUUUCACUAAGAAAGUUGUGCCUUCGACCAGAAAAGCUUCAAGCUUGGCUUGAGCUACAGAAGGAAACAAAUAGCUGAGCAACUCAGUAAAUGAUGGUGGCAUCAAGCAGUUGAAGGCUAUCUUAUAAAUUUAUAUUUUUUUCAAUUCCAGAUAUAUUUAUCACACUGUAUAUGCUUUGUUUAUCACAUGGUGGUAUGGUACCUUCGUUGCUUCC